AGGACAGGUUUGAGGAGAGCGCGCUGUCAGGGGAGGCAGCGGCCUUGUGUGGUAGAUACCACACGCGUGAGGGCAGCUGAGGGACGGUGGGAAACCACCGAACUCUUCUAUCCAGCGCCUGGGACGUUUACACGAGGGCUCUCAACGCCGGCUAUGAAAAUAAACCCAGUGGGAACAGACACAAUCCAGACGAGCUGGCUGUGUCUUUACAAAAGUGGGAACGAAAGCAACAAAAUACCGACACCCUUCAAAAAUCUCCAUUUUUGUUUCAACUGAACGUACGCGUCGUGCCGGGCUACAACGUAAGCGCUUUGCUGGCGGAUAUUCAACUGGCAUGUCGUGGCGAUUCCAAUCUUGACAGCUCUUUCACAGGGGAGGAUCAACUCUACGUCCUCCAUUCUAUCACCGCUUACCUGGGCUAGUGACUCAUAGAUCUGCUUAGGGCCUGUGACUCCCUAACAGGGCACCAAGAAUCCCUCGUGGGCUGGCGCUGACUUCUGGGGCCCUUCUACCCGGCAGAGGCCCCCCCCAGAAGCAGCUGACAGUUUGCUCUACAGAUUUAUUUUCCAAAAGAUACUCGGCCGCCACUGACACAGCUGCGCUGGGUUCUGACCUUUCACAAGAACCCUUAGGAGUUUUUCAAAGGAAGGGAGAAUUAAACGGCACACUUCAAACCUAUAUGAAUGAUGUGCUUGCAGCGCUAAAGAGAAAAGGAAGGAAAGAACUCUCCAGAAGUGGCGUUUUUCCUUACACUUCAGCUUGUUUGCUAUUUCUAUUGAUUCUCGUGAACUGGCUGUCCCAGUCGCGCAUGUAGAUACCAGCACAGAGAAGCCUGCCAACACGCUGAGCACUUCUUGUGUUGGAGUUCGCGGAAGCAAAUCUUUGCACAUAUAUAGAUGCAUACGCUUUAAAGGAGAUUCUAUGACUCGCGUUAGAAAAGGAAGCCGACCGUAAAAGCUUGACUAAGGGGAGAGAAGCCAGCAGUGUGUUCUUGGGUCACAGACUUAUCAUCCCUGUUGUUAGACGAAAAGAGCGAAGCCUGUCAUAGACCCAGAGGGAUGUGGUGGCAUCCUGGAGGGAUAUGAGGACCAUAAAUUUGUGUCCAUGGGAUGCUUUAUCCAAUAAUCUCUAAAUACUAGUUAUUAAAAUGGAACUAUGCCCACCUGACAUUCUGAUUUAUAGGUCUCUUUUACACAUUGAUGGUUUUCUCCAAUUUGUGUUUCUGAGGUAUAGAUUGCCAAGUGGAUAAAGCCAUUGAUUAGAACUGCACCCCUAAGGCAGCUGUCGGUAGAAUCAGCAAGUCAUAAGAAUAAAAUGCAUUAGUUAUAAUCCCUGAGCAGUCUUUCACAUUGUGGAGGAUUUAAAAGUUUCAUUAUUUUUCAGUGUUACCAAGGGUUCAAUUCUUUUUUAAGAUCACACCGGUUAGGUAUUCUUUGCUACCCACAAAAAAAAAAAAAAAAAAAGCAAAAAAACACAAAACAAAAACCAAAACAAAACAAAUCAUUCUGAAUUAUUUAAAAGCUGACGCAGAAAACCCAGUAAGCAUGAACUUUGCCAUAGUGGGAAUACAGUGUUUGUUUUUACUCAUUUUACAGUUCAACUCUAUAAUUUCUAUUAUUAAUAAAAUGAAACC